rnacentral:rRNA from 1 species
AUAGUUUGAUGAUGGCUCAGAUUGAACGCUGGCGGCAUGCUUAACACAUGCAAGUCGAACGGUAACAGGACGCUAGGAUCCCUUCGGGGUGACUUUGUCGCUGACGAGUGGCGGACGGGUGAGUAAUGCAUAGGAAUCUGCCCAGUAGUGGGGGAUAACGUGGAGAAAUCCACGCUAAUACCGCAUGUGUCCUACGGGACAAAGCAGGGGACCUUCGGGCCUUGCGCUAUUGGAUGAGCCUAUGUUGGAUUAGCUUGUUGGUAGAGUAAAAGCCUACCAAGGCGACGAUCCAUAGCUGGUCUGAGAGGAUGAUCAGCCACACCGGAACUGAGACACGGUCCAGACUCCUACGGGAGGCAGCAGUGGGGAAUAUUGCACAAUGGGCGCAAGCCUGAUGCAGCAAUGCCGCGUGUGUGAAGAAGGCCUGCGGGUUGUAAAGCACUUUUAUUAGGAAAGAAAAACCCGGAGCUAAUACCUCCGGCAUUGACGGUACCUAAAGAAUAAGCACCGGCUAACUCAGUGCCAGCAGCCGCGGUAAUACUGAGGGUGCUAGCGUUAAUCGGAAUUACUGGGCGUAAAGCGAGUGUAGGCGGCUACUUAAGUCGGAUGUGAAAUCCCCGGGCUCAACCUGGGAAUUGCAUUCGAUACUGGGUAGCUAGAGUUUGGUAGAGGUAAGUGGAAUUCCGGGUGUAGCGGUGAAAUGCGUAGAUAUCCGGAGGAACAUCAGUGGCGAAGGCGGCUUACUGGACCAAAACUGACGCUGAGGCUCGAAAGCGUGGGGAGCAAAC